AGGAAUGGCCAACCCAAUAGCCCAACUAACAUCUGAUUGCACAAAGACAAUAACAGUCACAGAUACCAUCACUGCAAACGUGUAGGUGAGGUAGUACCAAUUGAAGAAACUACUGAUGCCCUUCUUGCCAGAUUCAGUGUUGGGAUUGAAUUGGUCAGCACCAAAGGCUAGGUUGCAGGGUCUGAUGCCACCAGCUCCAAUGACUAAGAAUCCAAAAGCACUUAGCAGGAAAGCAAAUUGCCAAGCUGUUGGCCCCACACACUUGCUACUCUCUCCUGGUACACAAUUUGGCGGAUGCAGAUUGGAAAUUGCUGCUGUUAACAUUAACACCAACAUCCCCUG
rnacentral:misc_RNA from 1 species